rnacentral:rRNA from 1 species
CUACACAUGCAGUCGACGGCAGCACAGUAAGAGCUUGCUCUUACGGGUGGCGAGUGGCGGACGGGUGAGGAAUGCAUCGGAAUCUACUCUGUCGUGGGGGAUAACGUAGGGAAACUUACGCUAAUACCGCAUACGACCUACGGGUGAAAGCAGGGGAUCUUCGGACCUUGCGCGAUUGAAUGAGCCGAUGCCCGAUUAGCUAGUUGGCGGGGUAAGAGCCCACCAAGGCGACGAUCGGUAGCUGGUCUGAGAGGAUGACCAACCAUACUGGAACUGAGACACGGUCCAGACUCCUACGGGAGGCAGCGGUGGGGAAUAUUGGACAAUGGGCGCAAGCCUGAUCCAGCCAUACGGCGUGGGUGAAGAAGGCCUUCGGGUUGUAAAGCCCUUUUGUUGGAAAAGAAAAGCAGCCGGUUAAUACCCGGUUGUUCUGACGGCACCAAAAGAAUAAGCACCG